rnacentral:rRNA from 1 species
AUUGAACGCUAGCGGGAUGCCUUACACAUGCAAGUCGAACGGAGUGGCCAACGGGCGAGUAAUGUAUCGGUACGUGCCCAGUAGCGGGGGAUAACUACGCGAAAGCGUAGCUAAUACCGCAUACUAUUGGUGCGGCCGAUAUGGGAUUAGCUAGCUGGUGGGGUAACGGCUCACCAAGGCGACGAUCCGUACCUGGUUUGAGAGGAAGACCAGCCACACUGGGACUGAGAAACGGCCCAGACUCCUACGGGAGGCAGCAGUGGGGAAUUUUGGACAAGGGGGGAAACCCUGAUGCAGCCAUCCCGCGUGUACGAUGAAGGCCUUAGGGUUGUAAAGCACUUUUAGCAGGAAGGCGGUACCUGCAGAAUAAGCACCGGCUAACUCCGUGCCAGCAGCCGCGGUAAUAC